ACAUUCUUCAUGUGCCAAAAAAAUUAGUUGCGGCACAAAGGUGUAGUUUUUCGACUAAUUGAUAUUCUGUCGAAUCUAUAUUAGUUAUUCAUCUUAUUAUAAAUAAUUGUCAAAACUUACUUGUUAAAUUAUAAUUUCUUUUUCUAUUUUACUAUUACAAUUAAUUAAAUUUGUAAGGUUUCAAAAAAAGUUUUUUAGCAAUAAAU
rnacentral:lncRNA from 1 species